CACCCGGGCCGCAGACUCGGGAAGCGGGGUUGGGCGCGGAGGCGGAGCUCUCUAGCACCCGACGCUGAGAUCUUUCCGCCGCUGGGUGGAGCCUGCGGGGAACUGCCGUCUGAAAAUGGAAAUGUCUGCUUUGUACGUAAACAAAGAAACCCGGGCGAGCUGGGUCUCGGGAGUAGCGCCAGGAACGCAGGCUUCGCCCCCGCUCCCCAGACUCUGCAUUAAAGUGGAUCUUCCACUCGCGUGACAGCUGCGAGCUGGGCUGUUUAGGGCUCUGUGCUGUUUCCGGGUGGUCCCACCCGAGCUGAGCGACAAGGCCCUCCCAGGGUCGGCGCGCUUUCACCUGCGAGACCUAGCAAAGGUCGCGGUGAGGGUGGGCGUAAAGCGAUCCAGCGGGUAGUCUUCUGGGCACGCCGUAAUCUGAAAACAGCCUUUGGGGAACGACCGCAGAAAGCAGGUCGAGCAACACAGCAAGAGAUCACCGUUCAUACCACGUUAGGGUGGGAGUCCCUCUCUACGCCCACGUUCUCGGAAUUUAACAAGGACACCUUGGAUUCCCCUUUAAGAUUAUUCUAGUGUGACUGCGGGAAUUCACAACCCAGGGGGUAGCGGAGUCUGGGAAAGACGACGAAAACAAACAGUAGGCUCUAGAAAGCUAAACAAGGGGAUGGGUCAACACUUGAAUAGUCUCUUAUCUUGGCAACUGCUCCAGAGAAGGCUCUGUCGUGAAGGCAAUCUUAAAUACCCUUGACUGGGCUGGGCAAAAGCCUAAAGGGAGUUUGACUGGUCCCAAGGGAGGGAUUCCUUGGAUUCAGAGGAAGAUUUCCAUCUGAAAGGAUCUUGGGCACAAACGCACCUGCGCCCAGCAUGAGUUUAAGC